rnacentral:tRNA from 1 species
GCAUCGGUGGUUCAGUGGUAGAAUGCUCGCCUGCUACGCAGGCGGCCCGGAUUCGAUUCCCGACCGAUGCA